GCAGUUAGAACUUGAAAUGGAACAACAGAUCGGUUCAAAAUUUGGAAAGGAGUGUGUCAAGGCUGUAUAUUGUCACCCUGCUUAUUUAACUUCUAUGCAGAGUGCACCAUGCAAAAUGUCGGGCUGGGUGAAGCUCAAGCUGGAAUCAAGAUUCCUGGGAGACAUAGCAAUAACCUCAGAUACGCAGGUGACAUCACCCUAAUGGCAGAAAACAAAGAACAAAAGAG